UACGGAGGGGGCUAGCGUUGUUCGGAAUACUGGGCGUAAAGGGCUCGUAGGUGGCCAACUAAGUCAGACGUGAAAUCCCUCGGCUUAACCGGGGAACUGCGUCUGAUACUGGAUGGCUUGAGUUUGGGAGAGGGACGCGGAAUUCCAGGUGUAGCGGUGAAAUGCGUAGAUAUCUGGAGGAAUACCGGUGGCGAAGGCGGCAUCCCGGACCGGCAUUGACGCUGAUGAGCGAAAGCUAGGGGAGCAAACAGG
rnacentral:rRNA from 1 species